AGCAUAAUUGUUUAUAUUUCUAGCUUAGUUACACAACUUUUCCAGUCUUCUGUGGCCCCUGUCCCAACUUUUUGGAAGGCGUUGCAGGUGUCCUGAAAUCACCUUCACCUGCAGCAAAUGGAGACAACAUGAGACAACCUGUUCCAUCCACUCCUGCAAAAGCAGGUGAGAUCAGUUUAGCAUCAAUGUCUUUGCCUGGAGAAUAAGAUGCUCUCUCAGUGCAUGGUCUUGAAUAGCCCGUUUUCUUACAGCAGACAAUUUGACUUGCCAUGACAGGGACAGUUAGUCAGCAUGAACAAUAGCAGAAUCCUGAAACUGACACAGCUAAAUGGAAUUAAGCCUUAAUUGCUGUGACACAUCUCUUCU